UCAUUCGGAUUCGCCAUCAUACGUCCAACCGUGCAUUUGAUAUGCAUAUAUAUGCAUCACGAGCAACGGUUGGGCUGUAUGAUGGCGAUACCGAUUGG
rfam:Triticum urartu cultivar G1812 contig841905, whole genome shotgun sequence.